CUUAAUCCUUCCAUUUUCUACAACCCAAGCUUUAAGAUUGAUUCAAGGAUCAGGAACGGUUUUCAAGAGGCCAUGAUGAAAAUGGCUUCCGAGGAUAAAGAUAAAGUAGAAAUUACUAAAGAACAUCCCAUAUACAUAAAUGCUCAAGGUGCUCUAGGGACUGAUUUUGCAGUAAAGGGGAGGACACUAAACGCCCCAGCUGAUUGGUGGAUGGGUUAUGGUUACGAAAUUCCAAGUCUACAGAGAGCUGCUAUACGGAUUUUGAGUCAACCUUGCAGUCUGGUAUAUAUGGUUAAACUUCAAUUGCCAGAAGUUCACUUGCAUAAUAUUAACUUGUUAGGAAGUGGAUCUCGGGUUUGAUUUAUAAGCUGUAAUAUGUACAUAAACAUGUAGUUUAUACUUUAUACUAGUCAAAUAAUAUAUUUAUAAACUCUAACAUAAUGUGUCUUCAGCUGAUUGGUGGAUGAGUUAUGGUUACGAAAUUCCAAGUCUACAGAGAGCUGCUAUACGGAUUUUGAGUCAACCUUGCAGUCUGCGCUGGUGUAGAUGGAACUGGAGCACUUUUGAUAGCGUUCAUAGCAAAAGACGGGACAGGUUGGAGCUUGAUAGAUUUGACGAUCUUGUUUAUGUGCACUGCAAUCUCUGGUUACAGGCAAUUGUAAGAAGUAAUGGCAAAUGUAAGCCAAUCAAUUUUGACGAAAUAGAUGUCGCCACUGAAUGGGAAGGAAUUGUAAGAAGUAAUGGCAAAUGUAAGCCAAUCAAUUUUGACGAAAUAGAUGUCGCCACUGAAUGGCCUACUGAAGCUGAAGUUGCAAGCACUUUCUUGGAUGAUUCCUGGUUGCACAGUCCACCCAUUGAAGGCAGAGGUAUCCCUUCAUUUAGUAAAUUAUCUAUAAAUGCAGAUAAUAAGUUUUAUUUCUCUAAUUUUUUAUUGGCCUAUCUGAAAAAUAAAUACUUCUGGAUUAUCUAUGGUUGCACAAUUCAUCCUUUACGUGAAUAAUUCUGGAUUUCAAUGAAUCGAGUAGUCAUAAUUUUAUUGCUGAUAUAUGUUUGUGACCAGGCAGUGAUUUUUCUUAGUUUAUAAAGCUGGAAUAUUUUGGUAUCUGGCUUAAAUGUCGUUAUACAAAUUUGCAGUGUGAAUCAUAAGCACCCUAAC
rnacentral:lncRNA from 1 species